rnacentral:rRNA from 1 species
UACGUAGGGGGCGAGCGUUGUCCGGAUUUAUUGGGCGUAAAGAGCUCGUAGGCGGUUCGAUAAGUCGGACGUGAAAUCUCCACGCUCAACGUGGAGGGGCCGUUCGAUACUGUCGUGACUCGAGUCCGGUAGGGGAGUGUGGAAUUCCCGGUGUAGUGGUGAAAUGCGUAGAUAUCGGGAGGAACACCAGUGGCGAAGGCGACUACCUGGCCUGUUCUUGACGCUGAGGCGCGAAAGCCAGGGGAGCAAACGGG